rnacentral:rRNA from 1 species
GAUGAACGCUGGCGGCGUGCCUAAUACAUGCAAGUCGAGCGAACAGACGAGGAGCUUGCUCCUCUGCCGUUAGCGGCUGACGGGUGAGUAACACGUAGAUAACCUACCUAUAAUACUGGGAUAACUUCGGGAAACCGGUGCUACUACCGGAUAAUAUAUUGAACCGCAUGGUUCAAUAGUGAAAGACGCUUUUGCUGACACUUAUAGACGGAUCCGCGCCGCAUUGGCUAGUUGGUAAGGUAACGGCCUACCAACGCAACGGUGCUUAUCCGACCUGAGAGGGUGAUCCGGCACACUGGAAAUGAGAACAGGUCCAAAACCCUACGGGGGGCAGCAGUGGGGAAAACUGGAGAAUGGGGGGAAGCCCGACCGGAGCAACCCGGCGGGGUGGAGAAGGGCUUUCGGUUCUAAAACCCUUUUAUUAGGGAAGAACAAAUGUGUAAGUAACUAUGCACGUCUUGACGGUACCUAAUCAGAAAGCAACGGCUAACUACGUG